CAGACCCUACGGACGCAGCAGUGAGGAAUAUUGGUCAAUGGCCGGAAGGCUGAACCAGCCAAGCCGCGUGAAGGACGAAGGUGCCAAGCAUUGUAAACUUCUUUUGUCAAGGGACAAAAUCAGGCUCGAGAGCCUGACCGAGGGUACUUGAAGAAAAAGCAUCGGCUAACUCCGUGCCAGCAGCCGCGGUAAUACGGAGGAUGCGAGCGUUAUCCGGAUUUAUUGGGUUUAAAGGGUGCGUAGGCGGACUGUUAAGUCAGCGGUAAAAGCCCGGGGCUCAACCCCGGCGAGCCGUUGAAACUUGC
rnacentral:rRNA from 1 species